rnacentral:miRNA from 1 species
AUUUCGUGCACCGGGCCACUAGUAUGUGUGUGUGUGUGUGUGUGUGUGUGUGUGUGUGUGUGUAUAUAUAUAUAUAUACACACACACACAUAUAUGUGUCCAUAUAUAU